AAAAAUUUUACUUACUGGGUCUCAGGAGGAUAUAAAUUUGGUUUCAAUUUACUUCAAACUUGGCACAUAUAUAAAGGCAGCUGAUACGUUGACAUCAGCAAAUGCAUAGACAUGAUGACAUCAGCUGGAUCGAUGCCAAAAUAAGCUACAAUACGUGCGAGGGGCGGGGUUUG